CGCCCAGUGCUGAUGCGCCACGCGUCAAAGGAGUAGAGCCGGUUUUUGGUUUUAGAAAAGUAUAGCCGCGCGGCUAUACUAUUUUGAAAAUCAAUUCAGGGGAAAACUGGGUAUAGCCGAACGGCUAUACUAUUUUGUUUUUAGUGUAUAUCAUUUUUUUUUUUAUUCAAUAAUAUGUGAGAAUUAUGUGUUCAAUGGUUAAUUAAUACAUAUUCAAUUAAUCAAAAGGUUGGCCUUGGGCCUUUGGGCUCUUGGGGUCGGUGAUUUAAAUUAAACCCGAUUAGUUAAUUAAUUAUUUUCAAA
rnacentral:lncRNA from 1 species